GUAGGUUUUACCAAACCUUAGGGAAUAAAUUAUAGUUUAUACAAAAUAAUAUUUUGUUGAUUUUAAACCUAAAAGAAAAAUAGAAGAAGCCAAUACAUAAAAAGAAAGGAUAAGUGUAAUUUUUUAAAAGUUUUAGGACUAAAAUAUUUAUAAAAAAAAAAGGGUAAAAUCUUUAGGACUGAAAUAUUACUUAUAUCAGUCAUUGCGUGUACAACCUGUGUACCUUUCCAUGAUAACCUGUGUACCUUUCCAUGAUAAGGAUAACAUUUGACCCUACCAUUCAUAUGAAAUUGAAAUCAAACUUUUAUGAAUCAGCUUGUUAUAUUUUGCAAUUAGCAUAAGCAGAAUAACUAGUAUUGUUAAUGUUUUAUCAUUUUGUUUUUCCCAUGCAAUAGAUAUGAUCUGUAAGAACUACACUGUGAAGGCAAAAUUCCCAGAUUCACUUAGUGCAGUAUGAUGGAUGCUGCCUAAUUAUUUCACUUGCUUGCUAUUACUACUGUCAGCCACUAGCUAAACAAGACUUCAUAUGCUAUGUACAAUAGAAACUAGAUGCAAUAUUGCCAUGACUAAUCAGUUCGUUCCUUGGAUCUACUUUAUUGAAAUUUAAAACAAACGACAUUUAAUCAGUAAUGGAGGGAUUACUGUCUCUCUUGGUUCUCUGAAUGUUUGUUUACAUUGCGAAACUGGAGUGCUUAUUAAAGUAGAUCUAAUGACUUUAAGUCCUUUUAGAGAAUUAGGAUAUAGAAAGAUGAAUGCUUUAUAAGAAAUGGGAUCAAUCUUGGGGAACAAAGUGACUUGCAUUUCUAAACUGAGCCAUAAAUUUCUUCU
rnacentral:misc_RNA from 1 species